rnacentral:tRNA from 1 species
CCCAUUUGACUCCAAAAAUCUUUAUCCUAUCCCCCUUUUUCGUUAGCG